CGUAUCACCCAAGACAACUUUACGGAGUUGACGAUUGACGGAGCGAAGCGACGUCAAAGCGUUCAUUAAAGUCGAGUUGGCUUAGGGAUACGUUCGUUGGGUAGGGGAGCGUUCUGUAAGCCUGUGAAGGUGUGUCGUGAGGCAUGCUGGAGGUAUCAGAAGUGCGAAUGCUGACAUAAGUAACGAUAAAGCGGGUGAAAAGCCCGCUCGCCGGAAGACCAAGGGUUCCUGUCCAACGUUAAUCGGGGCAGGGUGAGUCGACCCCUAAGGCGAGGCCGAAAGGCGUAGUCGAUGGGAAACGGGUUAAUAUUCCCGUACUUGGUGUUACUGCGAAGGGGGGACGGAGAAGGCUAUGUUGGCCGGGCGACGGUUGUCCCGGUUUAAGCGUGUAGGUGUGUGUUCCAGGUAAAUCCGGUUCACUUUAACACUGAGGCGUGACGACGAGGCACUACGGUGCUGAAG
rnacentral:rRNA from 1 species